GGUAGGGGAGCGUUCUGUAAGCCUGUGAAGGUGGCCUGUGAGGGUUGCUGGAGGUAUCAGAAGUGCGAAUGCUGACAUAAGUAACGAUAAAGCGGGUGAAAAGCCCGCUCGCCGGAAGACCAAGGGUUCCUGUCCAACGUUAAUCGGGGCAGGGUGAGUCGACCCCUAAGGCGAGGCCGAAAGGCGUAGUCGAUGGGAAACAGGUUAAUAUUCCUGUACUUGGUGUUACUGCGAAGGGGGGACGGAGAAGGCUAUGUUGGCCGGGCGACGGUUGUCCCGGUUUAAGCGUGUAGGCUGAUUUUCCAGGCAAAUCCGGAAAAUCAAGGCUGAGGCGUGAUGACGAGGCACUACGGUGCUGAAGCAACAAAUGCCCUGCUUCCAGGAAAAGCCUCUAAGCAUCAGGUAACAUCAAAUCGUACCCCAAACCGACACAGGUGGUCAGGUAGAGAAUACCAAGGCGCUUGAGAGAACUCGGGUGAAGGAACUAGGCAAAAUGGUGCCGUAACUUCGGGAGAAGGCACGCUGAUAUGUAGGUGAAGCGACUUGCUCGUGGAGCUGAAAUCAGUCGAAGAUACCAGCUGGCUGCAACUGUUUAUUAAAAACACAGCACUGUGCAAACACGAAAGUGGACGUAUACGGUGUGACGCCUGCCCGGUGCCGGAAGGUUAAUUGAUGGGGUUAGCGGUAACGCGAAGCUCUUGAUCGAAGCCCCGGUAAACGGCGGCCGUAACUAUAACGGUCCUAAGGUAGCGAAAUUCCUUGUCGGGUAAGUUCCGACCUGCACGAAUGGCGUAAUGAUGGCCAGGCUGUCUCCACCCGAGACUCAGUGAAAUUGAACUCGCUGUGAAGAUGCAGUGUACCCGCGGCAAGACGGAAAGACCCCGUGAACCUUUACUAUAGCUUGACACUGAACAUUGAGCCUUGAUGUGUAGGAUAGGUGGGAGGCUUUGAAGUGUGGACGCCAGUCUGCAUGGAGCCGACCUUGAAAUACCACCCUUUAAUGUUUGAUGUUCUAACGUUGGCCCGUUAUCCGGGUUGCGGACAGUGUCUGGUGGGUAGUUUGACUGGGGCGGUCUCCUCCUAAAGAGUAACGGAGGAGCACGAAGGUUGGCUAAUCCUGGUCGGACAUCAGGAGGUUAGUGCAAUGGCAUAAGCCAGCUUGACUGCGAGCGUGACGGCGCGAGCAGGUGCGAAAGCAGGUCAUAGUGAUCCGGUGGUUCUGAAUGGAAGGGCCAUCGCUCAACGGAUAAAAGGUACUCCGGGGAUAACAGGCUGAUACCGCCCAAGAGUUCAUAUCGACGGCGGUGUUUGGCACCUCGAUGUCGGCUCAUCACAUCCUGGGGCUGAAGUAGGUCCCAAGGGUAUGGCUGUUCGCCAUUUAAAGUGGUACGCGAGCUGGGUUUAGAACGUCGUGAGACAGUUCGGUCCCUAUCUGCCGUGGGCGCUGGAGAACUGAGGGGGGCUGCUCCUAGUACGAGAGGACCGGAGUGGACGCAUCACUGGUGUUCGGGUUGUCAUGCCAAUGGCACUGCCCGGUAGCUAAAUGCGGAAGAGAUAAGUGCUGAAAGCAUCUAAGCACGAAACUUGCCCCG
rnacentral:rRNA from 1 species